rnacentral:rRNA from 1 species
UACGAAGGGGGCUAGCGUUGUUCGGAAUCACUGGGCGUAAAGCGCACGUAGGCGGAUGUGUCAGUCAGGGGUGAAAGCCCGGGGCUCAACCCCGGAACUGCUUUCGAAACUGCUGAGCUAGAGUGCGGAAGAGGCAACUGGAAUUCCCAGUGUAGCGGUGAAAUGCGUAGAUAUUGGGAAGAACACCGGAGGCGAAGGCGGGUUGACUGGGC